rnacentral:rRNA from 1 species
UACGUAGGGGGCAAGCGUUGUCCGGAAUCAUUGGGCGUAAAGAGCGUGUAGGCGGCCCGGUAAGUCCGCUGUGAAAGUCCAGGGCUCAACCCUGGGAUGCCGGUGGAUACUGUCGGGCUCGAGUCCGGAAGAGGAGUGUGGAAUUCCUGGUGUAGCGGUGAAAUGCGCAGAUAUCAGGAGGAACACCAAUGGCGAAGGCAGCUCGCUGGGACGGUACUGACGCUGAGGUGCGAAAGCGUGGGGAGCGAACAGG